rnacentral:lncRNA from 1 species
UUCCCUGUUUGGAAUUGGGGCAGGGACCAUAGCGAUAAAUAGAGCGAGAGAGAGAGAGAGAAAUCUGGUACUUCCUACUGAGUGCAUCAUUAGGGGUGCAACUGGAGAGAACUGGUAUGAAACGAUUCAUUCCGCUCAAUUGAAUCAGAUGAUUUAGGGUACAUUUGAUCUCCAUGGACAAGGCACCGUGAACAAGGACAAAUCAUCAGGGGUCGCCUUUCAUCUCUAUCAAUCAUUCUCAAUCUAACAGAACCCUUCCAUCACACACAACCUGUAUCAUAAUCUUCAGACCAGACAGG